rnacentral:rRNA from 1 species
GACGGGGGCCCGCACAAGCGGUGGAGUAUGUGGUUUAAUUCGAUGCAACGCGAAGAACCUUACCUGGUCUUGACAUCCCGGAGACCCUUAGGAAACUAGGGGGUGCUUCCAUCUGGAAGAAUCUGGAGACAGGUGCUGCAUGGCUGUCGUCAGCUCGUGUCGUGAGAUGUUGGGUUAAGUCCCGCAACGAGCGCAACCCUUGCCUUUAGUUGCCAGCAGUUCGGCUGGGCACUCUAAAGGGACUGCCGGUGUUAAACCGGAGGAAGGUGGGGAUGACGUCAAGUCCUCAUGGCCUUUAUGACCAGGGCUACACACGUACUACAAUGGCCGAUACAAAGGGCAGCGACACUGCGAGGUGAAGCCAAUCCCGUAAAAUCGGUCUCAGUCCGGAUUGGAGUCUGCAACUCGACUCCAUGAAGUUGGAAUCGCUAGUAAUCGUGGAUCAGCAUGCCACGGUGAAUACGUUCCCGGGCCUU